AUAGUUUGAUUCUGGCUCAGAGUGAACGUUGGCGGUGCGUCUAAUACAUGCAAGUCGAGCGACUCUUCGAGAGGAGCGGCGGACGGCUGAGUAACACGUUAGUAGCUACCCCCCACUCAGGGAUAACCAUUGGAAACGAUGGCUAAUACCGGAUGGUCCUGUAAAGGUAAAGCUUUUGCGGUGGGGGAGGUGCUUGCGGCCUAUCAGCUUGUUGGUGAGGUAAAAGCUCACCAAGGCUAUGACGGGUAACUGGUCUGAGAGGAUGAUCAGUCAGAGGGAAACUGAGACACGGUUCCCACUCCUACGGGAGGCAGCAGUAAAGAAUCUUCCACAAUGGACGAAAGUCUGAUGGAGCGACACCGCGUGCAGGAUGACGGCCUUCGGGUUGUAAACUGCUUUUCUGGGGGAAUAAAUCUGAAGGUACCCUAGGAAUAAGCACCGGCUAACUCCGUGCCAGCAGCCGCGGUAAUACGGAGGGUGCAAACGUUACCCGGAAUUAUUGGGCGUAAAGCGUCCGCAGGCGGCGUGAUAAGUUAGAUGUUAAAUCUUGGGGCUCAACUCCAAGCUUGUAUCUAAAACUGUCAUGCUAGAGUCUUGGAGAGGGGAGUGGAAUUCUACAUGUAGGGGUAAAAUCCGUAGAUAUGUAGAGGAACACCAAAAGCGAAGGCAGCUCCCUGGCCAAGUACUGACGCUCAUGGACGAAAGCGUAGGUAGCAAACGGGAUUAGAUACCCCGGUAGUCUACGCCGUAAACGAUGAUCACUCGAUGUUGGGGGUUCGAC
rnacentral:rRNA from 1 species